AUACGUAGGGUGCGAGCGUUGUCCGGAAUUACUGGGCGUAAAGAGCUCGUAGGUGGUUUGUCGCGUCGUCUGUGAAAUUCCGGGGCUUAACUCCGGGCGUGCAGGCGAUACGGGCAUAACUUGAGUACUGUAGGGGAGACUGGAAUUCCUGGUGUAGCGGUGAAAUGCGCAGAUAUCAGGAGGAACACCGGUGGCGAAGGCGGGUCUCUGGGCAGUAACUGACGCUGAGGAGCGAAAGCGUGGGGAGCGAACAGGAUUAGAUACCCUGGUAGUCCAUGCCGUAAACGGUGGGCGCUAGGUGUAGGGGUCUUCCACGACUUCUGUGCCGUAGCUAACGCAUUAAGCGCCCCGCCUGGGGAGUACGGCCGCAAGACUAAAACUCAAAGGAAUUGACGGGG
rnacentral:rRNA from 1 species